ensembl:lncRNA
GUUUUCUCCCUGGAACAUCCCUGUGGACUUUAAGAAGAGUUUAGGAACCUGGUAUAAGGGUCCAAAUGCUUUUAUUCAUCCCACACCUUAAUUGAGUGAGUAGUUCAUUUCCACAGGUACAUCUGUAUCCAGAAUAACAUCUGCUGUCUGUUCUCCAGUGUUCCAGAAGUCCUAGUGGAAUGGGAUCAUAGCCGAAAGGAGAACCUGCCUUGGUUUGGUCAGAAAAGGGUAUCGUGCAUGACAGGUUGAAAUGUGAAGUCCUGCCAUUUUGGAAGGGAGUAUGUACUGCAUCUUUCUAAGAUCUUCCAUGACCUGCACCACCAAACAUUUUGGACUCCUACAGUCUCUUUGUGAAUCCCUCAUUGAGUCUGGAUGUGUGUGCCACUCGGAGCAAGUAAGGGCUUUUCUACUUUCUCAGCUUGAUUGAGCUGAGAUGCCCACUCUGUAAAUUGUCCUCUUCUUGAGGUGUUGGGUUUUUUAAAUUUCUAGGUCCCAAGGGUCAUAGAUCCUGUUAAUACUUCCCUUUUCAUGUUUACCAUGUACUUGCCAAGAAAGCACUGACUCCAACAAGAUUCAGCUGCUUUGGGGUGCCUUGACACCUUAAAAAUCCUUGCUGUGGUGUUAAUAGAGGUCUUCUGUGAUAUAAUUUGUCAAAGUAGUCAUCUAUUUAUUUUUCUUUCUCUUUUUUCUUUUUUCAUUUUUAAUUUAUUUGCUGUUGUUUGUACAUAUUUUAUUAAGGAAGUGUUUUGGGGCAAAUUCUGGGUUUAUUAAUGAGAAUUUUCUGUAAUUUUUCUCUGUCUGCCUUGUUUCAGUUUUACGUAAUUUUCUUUUAUUUUUAAGACUUUACUUUCUUUAGAGCAGUUUUAGGUUCACAGAAAAAUUAAGAGGAAGGUGCAGAGAUUUCUCAUAUACGCCCUGUCCCCUCAAGUGUAUAGCCUUCC